rnacentral:rRNA from 1 species
UCUGGUGACUAUAGCAAGGAGGUCACACCUGUUCCCAUGCCGAACACAGAAGUUAAGCUCCUUAGCGUCGAUGGUAGUCGAACUUAC